rnacentral:rRNA from 1 species
ACGUAGGAGGCGAGCGUUAUCCGGAUUUACUGGGCGUAAAGGGCAAGUAGGCGGUGGCCAAAGUUGGGCGUGACAUCUCCCGGCUCAACUGGGAGGGGUCGUUCAAACUAGGUCACUAGAGGGCAGGAGAGGGAAGCGGAAUUCCUAGUGUAGCGGUGGAAUGCUCAGAUAUUAGGAAGAACACCAGUGGCGAAGGCGGCUUCCUGGCCUGUACCUGACGCUGAGAGGCGAAAGCUAGGGUAGCAAACGGGCUUAGAUACCCGCGUAGUCCCUGAGCGGG